AUUGAACGCUGGCGGCAGGCCUAACACAUGCAAGUCGAACGAGUGGCGGACGGGUGAGUAAUGUCUGGGAAACUGCCUGAUGGAGGGGGAUAACUACUGGAAAAGGUAGAUAAUACCGCAUACCAUCGGAUGUGCCCAGAGGGGAUUAGCUAGUAGGGGGGGUAAAGGCUCACCGGGGCGACGAUCCCGAGCUGGUCUGAGAGGAUGACCAGCUACACUGAAACGGCUACACGGUCCAGACUCCUACGGGAGGCAGCAGGGGGGAAUAUUGCACAAUGUGCGCAAGCCUGAUGCAGCCAUGCCGCUUGUAUGAAGAAGGCCUUCGGGUUGUAAAGUACUUUCAGCGGGGAGGCGUUACCCGCAGAAGAAGCACCGGCUAACUCCGUGCCAGCAGCCGCGGUAAUUC
rnacentral:rRNA from 1 species